UAUACACAGUUUACUGAAGACAAUAAAGAACUUGUUGGGUCAGUGGGUCGUCUUAGGGGCGGAGUUUAAGAGCUCAGCCUGCAGACAAGAGUCCUUGUCAAUCUCCUUAAAGGAUCAAGCCAGUCGGAAUUAUGUUGUCCGUGUAGAAUAUGUUUUGAGUUGUUCAUAUUCCCAUGAGGAUUAGGUCUAGGUCACAAGCAGUUGAAGUGUAAACAAGGUCUUAUUUGAUAGCCAGCUGUUUUCAUUGUAGUUGGCUUCUAGACUGCACUGGAUGCAGCGGAGUGCCAGUGUUACUGAACGUCACUGUUUAUCUGAAAUCCAUAUACUAUAAAUAGCUCUCAAUGACAUUUCAGUAUGGAUAAUAGUCUGGUCAUUGAGAAAAUUGAAAGAUAGCAAACAGAACAUGGUAAAAACGAGUUAUGCCCGAUUCGUCAUUUUAGUGAUUUGGCAUCCAUAAAAAACGUGUCCCAGUUGGUCAUUCAAUAAAAUAUUUUAUUUUGCUUAGUCCCAAUUGGUCAUCCGUACUUUAUUUUGUAAAAAGUACUGUCAACAAGAUAAGCUUUACAAUAUUGUAAUAUGUGUUUUUUUAUUUAUUUUGGUUAUAUUUUUUCCGAAUAUGGCAAGACGCUAUUAAUAAAAUCGCGAUUUCAACGGCGUCACACACCGCACGGCCAAAACCAAAAUAUCAGGAUCGCAUAAAUCAGAUGAGUAAAUAUACCAAUCAACGAGUGUCCAUGGAACUGCCCACUGUGUACUAGGACCGCAUAACUUACAAGAGUAUGGUAGUCAAGAGUGUCAGGAUUUUAAGUUUUUUUCCUAAUUGUAGAUAAACAUACCAAUUUACACCAUCAUUCAUCAUUUUUAUGUAAACAAUCUCUUUGCUAGUUAUGGGCCCCUGGUACUUUUGUUACCGGCACAAAAAGUAUCGAGUCACAUUUUCGGGUUUAUAAAAUGCCCAAGUUGUCUUCACCUGUGUUUUAAUAUUAUAUUUAUAUGAGAGCUAUACCUUUACCUACAUCGAAGUUUUUCAUUUAAAAUUUCUUCUAACACUUUUAUUUCUUACGGUACUCUGAUACGUGAAAUUUUAUGCGGGUGACGAAUCGGAACUCAAAAUUUAAAUAUUAAAUUAUUUAUUUUGCUCGAAUGACCAAUUGGGACUUGGUGUAUGGAAAAAAUAGUUGGUGACCAAUCGGUACUAAUGACAAAUUGGGAAUAACUCGUAAAAACUUCAACAAUGGUUCAAUACAUUGUGCAUUCUAUAACUUUUGUAGAUUAAUUCUUAAGCUGGUAUUUAGUUGAGACUGUUUACCUCGGCUGAAUCCGGUUAGACUGAAAGCCGACCCCAACAUGGUAGGGAAAAAGGCUCGGAGGAUGAUGAUGUUUUUACCUUCUACUUAUGUAUACAUGUUCUUCUGUUUAAUACUUGCUUUGAAAGGACAAUGCCAGGGUCUGGGCUCAUAGUUUGCCCAGCAAUGGGAGUAGUUCCAGGGGGUUCCUUAGUGCACUCUGAACACGUAAUGCAAAUAUUUUUGAAAUCGCUCCCUGGGGUCCCGAGGAAAACCGGUUCAAAUAUUCUCCACAAAGAGUCACUUUACAAGGCCUGAGCCAUUUGCCCAGUAGUAAGAGUGGUCAAAGUAGGUUCUUUACUUCAAUCUUAACACGAAAUUAAAAUAUUUUUGAAAUCGGUCCCAGGGAUCCCGCGAAAAACCGAUUCAAAUGUUCUCCUUAGAUAGUCACUUAACAAAGUCUUUGGCAUUUGCCCAGUAGUGGGAGUGGUCAAAAUAGGUUCUUUACUUCACUCUUAACAUGAAAUCCAAAUAUUUUUGAAAGGGUAGUAUUUAAACGCAUAUCAAAAAAUAUCCUUUUUCUAUGCAAUAAGAUUCCGAAUUCCCAUCAAAAUUACUGAUUGCACAGCAAAAUAUUCAACUCAAAAUAUCACUAAACACACUACAAUUUAUUUUCCCAGCGUACAGCGAUUUUUCCUAAAGCAAACGCUUUUUCAUAAAUGCACAGCUAACAAUCUUAAUGCACAUUAUACAUGUUAACUCUUUUUCUUUUAAAUAUAGCUUCUAUUUUUAUAUUAUUUACAGCAGUUUUUCUGAAUAAAACAGCAUUUUAUUAGUCACA
rnacentral:lncRNA from 1 species